rnacentral:rRNA from 1 species
CGCUGGCGGCGUGCUUAAUACAUGCAAGUCAACUUGACUUUAGAUAGCAAUAUCGAAAAGUAGGGUGGCGCACGGGUGCGUAACGCGUAGGUAAUCUGCCCUGAGGUCUGACAUAACCCGUCGAAAGGCGGGCUAACAUCAGAUGAUAUAUAGUCACGACAUCGUGGAAAUAUCAAAUCUUCGGAGCCUUGGGAUGAGCCUGCGUCUGAUUAGGUAGUUGGCGGAGUAAUAGCCCACCAAGCCUACGAUCAGUAGCUGGUCUGAGAGGAUGAUCAGCCACACUGGAACUGAGACACGGUCCAGACUCCUACGGGAGGCAGCAGUAAGGAAUAUUGCUCAAUGGGGGGAAACCCUGAAGCAGCAACGCCGCGUGAAGGAUGAAAUACUUUGUAUGUAAACUUCUGUAAGAUGGGAAAAAUAUUCUCCUCGGGAGAAUUGAUUGUACCAUCAGAGUAAGCCCCGGCUAACUACGUG